UGUAUAUAGUUAUAAUCACAUAUUUCUUUCUAUUUUCUUUUUUUUUAACCUAGAAAUUUUUUUAACUCAUGAAUUCUAUUUUGUUUCCAGUUCUCCUCCUCGUCCCACUGAAGGGGUGACUGAACAAAUGGCUAUGUGGCCAUAUUAACCUGCUGCCUGCCAGGUUAAACUGCAAUAAAAGGAGCUCCUCCCAUUGAGUCAAGAAGUUUGGACAGGACCUUAAAAUCCUUGAACCACAGAGUGCUCUGGCAGCUAAGGAUGGCAGUGACAGUCCUCACUCUUGUGUAUGGAAAAGCCUGCAGGGAGAACCUGUGUUCUGCCACUAUUGUAAGUACAAGGCAUCUGAACUGAGGUUAGAAUUUCAGAUAAUUGGGUUCAGUUCCUGUCAUUACCACUUAUUUCCUCUGUGAGCUUGGCAGGCAUGCUUGUUCUGAGAAGAAAAGGUGCUAACAGCGUUUGCUGUCUUGACAGGAGAGGGUUGAAAAAAAUAAUCACUUAAAAAGAUAGAGGUAUUCUGGCCUGGAUUUGAUCUGAGAAAGGCUGCAAUCUGCUCUACCAGUCCCCACUUCACCUGCAGUUAUCUCUGGCUAUGGUGACAGCUGUGAUAUCUCUGGCUACAAGAGCUCUUUGAUGUCAUGAGAUCUGAGAGCAUCUGAGGGGACUUUUGACUUUGCUAUCUGAAGCUCCAAGAGCAGCCAUUAGGUGUGGCAAGGCAGGACAGAAAAAAAUAAAACCAAUAAGAUCUAUGAAAACUGUCUACACAUAGAACCAACCCAUCCUCUCCUCCCCCCGACCCCCCCCCCAAGAAAAACCAAACCAAAACAAAACAAAAAAAACCCCUCCAAAUAAUUGCAAAAAAAGCA
rnacentral:lncRNA from 1 species